UGCGUAGGUGGUUAAUUAAGUCAGCGGUGAAAGUUUGUGGCUCAACCAUAAAAUUGCCGUUGAAACUGGUUGACUUGAGUAUAUUUGAGGUAGGCGGAAUGCGUGGUGUAGCGGUGAAAUGCAUAGAUAUCACGCAGAACUCCGAUUGCGAAGGCAGCUUACUAAACUAUAACUGACACUGAAGCACGAAAGCGUGGGAUCAAACA
rnacentral:rRNA from 1 species